rnacentral:rRNA from 1 species
GAUGAACGCUGGCGGCGUGCCUAGUACAUGCAAGUCGAGCGAACAGACGAGGAGCUUGCUCCUCUGACGUUAGCGGCGGACGGGUGAGUAACACGUGGAUAACCUACCUAUAAGACUGGGAUAACUUCGGGAAACCGGAGCUAAUACCGGAUAAUAUAUUGAACAGCAUGGUUCAAUAGUGAAAGACGGUUUUGCUGUCACUUAUAGAUGGAUCCGCGCCGCAUUAGCUAGUUGGUAAGGUAACGGCUUACCAAGGCAACGAUGCGUAGCCGACCUGAGAGGGUGAUCGGCCACACUGGAACUGAGACACGGUCCAGACUCCUACGGGAGGCAGCAGUAGGGAAUCUUCCGCAAUGGGCGAAAGCCUGACGGAGCAACGCCGCGUGAGUGAUGAAGGUCUUCGGAUCGUAAAACUCUGUUAUUAGGGAAGAACAAAUGUGUAAGUAACUAUGCACGUCUUGACGGUACCUAAUCAGAAAGCCACGGCUAACUACGUG